CCUACGGGUGGCAGCAGUGAGGAAUAUUGGUCAAUGGACGAGAGUCUGAACCAGCCAAGUAGCGUGAAGGAUGACUGCCCGAUGGGUUGUAAACUUCUUUUAUAUGGGAAUAAAAUGUUCCACGUGUGGGAUUUUGUAUGUACCAUAUGAAUAAGGAUCGGCUAACUCCGUGCCAGCAGCCGCGGUAAUACGGAGGAUCCGAGCGUUAUCCGGAUUUAUUGGGGUUAAAGGGAGCGUAGGUGGAUUGUUAAUGCAGUUGUGAAAGUUUUCGGCUCAACCGUAAAAUUGCAGUUGAAAAUGGCAGUCUUGAGUACAGUAGAUGUGGGCGGAAUUCGUGGUGUAGCGGUGAAAUGCUUAGAUAUCACGAAGAACUCCGAUUGCGAAGGCAGUUCACUGGACUGCAACUGACACUGAGGCUCGAAAGUGUGGGUAUCAAACAGGAUUAGAUACCCCAGUAGUA
rnacentral:rRNA from 1 species